GACGAACGCUGGCGGCGUGCUUAACACAUGCAAGUCGAACGGAAAGGCCCUGCUUUUGUGGGGUGCUCGAGUGGCGAACGGGUGAGUAACACGUGAGUAACCUGCCCUUGUCUUUGGGAUAACUUCAGGAAACUUGGGCUAAUACCGGAUAGGAGCUCCUGCUGCUUGGUGGGGGUUGGAAAUUUUCGGCGGUUGGGGAUGGACUCGCGGCUUAUCAGCUUGUUGGUGGGGUAGUGGCUUACCAAGGGUUUGACGGGUAGCCGGCAUGAGAGGGUGACCGGCCACAUUGGGACUGAGAUACGGCCCAGACUCCUACGGGAGGCAGCAGUGGGGAAUAUUGCACAAUGGGCGGAAGCCUGAUGCAGCAACGCCGCGUGCGGGAUGACGGCCUUCGGGUUGUAAACCGCUUUCGCCUGUGACGAAGCGUGAGUGACGGUAAUGGGUAAAGAAGCACCGGCUAACUACGUG
rnacentral:rRNA from 1 species